rnacentral:rRNA from 1 species
GGGGAAUCUUGCACAAUGGGCGAAAGCCUGAUGCAGCGACGCCGCGUGCGGGAGGAAGGCCCUCGGGUUGUAAACCGCUUUCAGCAGGGACGAGGCGCGAGUGACGGUACCUGCAGAAGAAGCCCCGGCUAACUACGUGCCAGCAGCCGCGGUAAUACGUAGGGGGCGAGCGUUAUCCGGAUUCAUUGGGCGUAAAGCGCGCGUAGGCGGCCUGUUAGGUCGGGAGUCAAAUCCGGGGGCUCAACCCCCGCCCGCUCCCGAUACCGGCGGGCUUGAGUCUGGUAGGGGAAGGUGGAACUCCAAGUGUAGCGGUGGAAUGCGCAGAUAUUUGGAAGAACACCGGUGGCGAAGGCGGCCUUCUGGGCCACGACUGACGCUGAGGCGCGAAAGCUAGGGGAGCGAAC